UAGUUUGAUGUGUCUCCCUGGCUGAGAUUGAUAGCAGAACUGUGGGAUACUGGGUCAGGAUCAACUUGCAGGUAGAAGCAAGAGAGGAGUAGGCUGGCAAUAUGACUGCCUGUGCAAUACCACAUGGCCUGGGGAGGUAGGAAGGAAAACCCGUGAAGCUGGCUCCAAACUGUCUUCUUCCUGGGCACAAAGCAGGAAGAGAAAUCUGUGCUGGACAAAGCACGAGAGCAGACAUCUGGGAGAAGAGCCCCGCCAUCUGAAGAGCACAACAAAGUCCUUGAUGAUAACCAAGUUUUGCAGUGAAGGAGAAUUCACUUCAGGAAGAAACGGGAGUAACUUGUGAAGAUUACAUCAACCAAACAGGAAAUGGAAACAGUCCCAUGUGCUUUAAGGUGCACAAGCCAUGGUUGUCACAGAGAAGACGCAGAGAAUCCUUCAUGGUCAGCUCAAAAUAGUCUGAACAUGCCCUGCGUUUCCAUCCAGUUAUCAAACAUGAAAUUGGGAGACAUGCAGCCCUCUCUCCUAAAAUGCACCCACUUUACUCGAGAGCCCACCGUGCUUCAGGAUUGCAGCCUCGCUUACUUCCACACGGUGAGAUGUGUCUCGGAUUGCUGAGCCCCACAGCAGUUAGAGGGAGGCCGUGCUGGUGACUUCUGCUGGCACUGGGAACCACCCUGCUGCAUCUGUUCCAGGCAGCAUCUCAGCCCAUUAAGAGGACUGGCCCAUCUUGAAAUCCCAGAUGUCCAUAAAGCUGUUAAGGCUAGUGUCUGCCCUCUGGAUACCACCUUGACUUCAAGUGCUGCAGCCUCCAUGUUCCUCAUGUGAAGAUAGUAGACUUAACUCUCACUGUGAAGAUACCAUAGGCUGUUAACUCACAUGCAGUGAAGAUAACCUAACCAGGUGAUGAUGCCUUACUGCCUGGACAAUAACUGACUUAAAAUGUAUUUUAAAUAUACCUGGUGCCUAUCAAUUUGUGAAGAUGUACAAGGACGUAAUACAACUAAACAACUUCAGGAAGAGUGCCUUCAUUACUAAAAGGAGAGAAGAUCCAGCCUGAGUUGAGGAUCUGGCUUUCCUAGUAAGAAGAUGCAUUGGAACAUACGAGACCUAUGUCUGACUGGCUUUUCCAGCCAGCUCCACUGGACUGAGGACUGGAAGCGCGAUGUCUGUGUGGGUUCCUGAGAGCACCAGGGAAAUGAAUCCAACGUAGAGGAUGGUAACUCUGUGAUAUAAAUGAAACCAACACAUAUUUUCACCUACAUUUUUGCUUUUCACUGAAGUGGUUCCAUCUGUGGAAGCAUCAGCAAGGAAUAAUAUGACCUUACUUCCCCUUCAUGGGGUGGGAACAGUAAGGGGAAAUCAAUGCAAGACCUUUUAUAACGGUUGGAGUUGAUGAUCUUAAAGGUCUUUUCCAACCUAAACGAUUCUAUGAUUCUAUAAAAUCACACCAGCAGAGCCAUGGCCAGGAGAUAACAAAGAAAAAACACACCAAAGUCCCUGUUCUUUGGCACUUACAAGCUUAA